rnacentral:lncRNA from 1 species
AAGAAAGUAAACAAACAUGGCAAUUAUUUUAUUACAAACAUGUAAGUUUACUAUUGGUUUUACCAACCACUGCUUAUAGGCUAUUAAGCUUACUCAAAUUUGAUUAUAUUGAAGUUCUCUUUUUGUAUCAGAAUAAGAAUAAGAUAAUUUUAUGUUCAAAAUAUUAAUAACAGGGCACAUUAAGAGCAUAUAUUAUAUAAAUCAAGUGCAAUGAUUGAAGUAAUAGAUAUUAUGCAUAUAUAUAGCAAUGCAAUGGGGCUUAUAAAUUAAUUAUAUUGUGUAUAAUAAUAAUAUUAAUUUUUUUUGCAGGAUUUUAAGAUGAAUGAGAAACAAUGGCUACUUCCAAUACAAUAGCACAUUUGAUAAAAUGAAUAAGACACAAGGACUGCACUUUUCAUUCUAAGGAAGAUCAACAAAUGAAACCCAAACAAGGAUAUUAUUUUCAUAUCAGAUUCCUGUACAUGAGAUAUAAAGAGAAA